rnacentral:rRNA from 1 species
AUUGAACGCUGGCGGAAUGCUUUACACAUGCAAGUCGAACGGUAGAGGGGGCAACCCCUCGAGAGUGGCGAACGGGUGAGUAAUAUAUCGGAACGUGCCCAGUCGUGGGGGAUAACGUAGCGAAAGUUACGCCAAUACCGCAUACGAUCUAAGGAUGAAAGCGGGGGAUCGCAAGACCUCGCGCGAUUGGAGCGGCCGAUAUCAGAUUAGGUAGUUGGGGGGGUAAAGGCUCACCAAGCCAACGAUCUGUAGCUGGUCUGAGAGGACGACCAGCCACACUGGAACUGAGACACGGUCCAGACUCCUACGGGAGGCAGCAGUGGGGAAUUUUGGACAAUGGACGCAAGUCUGAUCCAGCCAUUCCGCGUGCAGGAUGAAGGCCCUCGGGUUGUAAACUGCUUUUGUACGGAACGAAAAGGUCUCUCUUAAUACGGGGGGCUCAUGACGGUACCGUAAGAAUAAGCACCGGCUAACUACGUGCCAGCCGCCGCUGUAA